GCCAGUGUUACAUUAAAAGAAUGAAUACCAAUUCUGUCAGAGUUAAGGCAUGUGAGCUUUGGAAAGGAAUAGGGACAGAGUUUGCUUCCAAGACAUACAAGUUCUGCUAACAAAAUUGGUCCUGUUGAUAGCAGUUUAUUUUUGGUGGGGGGGGGGGGGGGGGGGGGGAGGGAUGGGACAGCCUUGUCACCACCAGGCCACCUCAGGAGACUCCACCAUCCAGCAGUCAGCACCAGAUCUGCUGACUGCUGAUUUAGCUUCACCAGAUUACCUCCAGUUCUUUUCAGCGACCCUUUGGCAUCAGGUAGGUCCAUUCUCUGCAUUAAUCUUCAAAGUGGCAUCUCUCCCUCUUCUGUUGGGGGCCUUUCCUACACUCAAUGCCUCCCUUCUUUUUGCCAGCACUUCAGCAACAAACCAGACUCCUUUCCCUUUCUGAUGGCAGACAGUAAGGCCCUCCUCACUUCAACACACCAACCUCAACAUGAAUCACACUGUGCCCUUGGGAGGCCAGAAGACCCUUACUCAUGGGUCCCAACUACCUGGCAGACAAAUGGGGGUAAUGCCUCCAGAACUAUCUCACUGUCCUAGGGCCUUAGAAAUGCAGAUUAGCAAAAUGGAUCCAUACCCCUAGGGAGAGAGGUAUGGCUGAAUUUGCCCCUUGAAACCCAGAAGACAGAGGUAAGGGACAAGAGUCCUGGGACAAGGUCGGAUUUGCUUAAACUUCAAGAAUAUGGAGUUCCUCCUACCUAUCUUUUCACCCAGAUUAUCAACAAAGGAUUUAAAAUUAAAAGAGUUCAUUCUCGGGAGAGAAGGGGGACCCUGUAUUUGAGAGGAGAAAAGUGGAGUGGAAGAUAAUUAAUUAAAAGACAAGAUGACAGAUCUCCCCUAAAUUUAUAAAUUCAAUGCUAUACCAAUCAAAAUAUCAAGAGGAUUUUUUAUUAUUUUGUCAAAAUGAUACCAGAGCUCAUCAAGACAAAUAAACUUGAGAAUUACCAGGAAAAUUCUAGGGGGAAAAAACUAAAGAAGUACCCUCAGUCCCUCUUUAGUUUUCAGAUAGUCAAUAUAAAGCUAAAUAAUGAAGCUUGGUGCUAACGGGGAGGAUUAGUUAAGAUGAUGAUACAUUUAAGGGGCAUAUAAUUUUACUUGGCACAUUGAAGCACUCUAAAAAAUUAGCCAUUAUUACUUUUAUAUUAUAACAAUUUGAAAACUGUGUAAAAAUGGAUUAUUCAAUAAAUGAUACUGAUCUAGCUGGCUAGCCAUUUGAGAAAAAAAUUAAGUGAAUCCCCACCACACUCUAUACCCCAAAAUAUAAAUUCCAGAUGAAUGCAAAAUUUAAACGUAAGUAAUGAAACCAUAAAAGAACUAAAUGACAAGAAAAAUGAGCUGUUUUUCCAAUCCUGGAGUAAGGCCUUUCUCAGGAUCCCUGUUAGCCUUUAUAUAUAUAAUACCUUAGUGCAAAUUAGAAAAUGAAGGUCCUUCUCCAGGACUCUUUCCAUCUGUCAGAAUACUUUCAUAAUUUACUGAUUUUGUUGGAAUAAAACAUUUUACUGGGGCCAGCCUGGUGGUGCAGCGGUUAAGUGCGCCCAUUCCACUUUGGUGGCCCGGGGUUCGCUGGUUCGGAUCCUGGGUGCGGACAUGGCACCACUCGGCAAGCCAUGCUGUGGCAGGUGCCCCACAUAUAAAGUAGAGGAAGAUUGGCAGCAGAUUUUAGCUCAGGGCUAAUCUUUCUCAAAUAAAUAAAUAAAUAAAUAAAAUAAAAACAUUUUACUGCAAUUCACUAUAUAUAAAUCUAUGAUAUCUAUGAUUUGAAUAGAAGCUCCUAGGGUAGUUGGUGUACAACUGACCUGACUUUUCUAAAAAUUAUUUAAUUAAAAAAAAAGAGCUGGGGCCGGCCCGAUGGCCAAGUGGUUAAGUUUGCACACUCUGCUUUGGUGGCCCAGGGUUUCGCUGGUUUGGAUCCUGGGCGUAGACAUGGCACUGCUCAUCAAGCCACAGAGAGGUGGCAUCCUACAUGCCACAACUAGAAGGACCUACAACUAAAAUGCACAACUAUGUACUGGGUGGAUUUGGGGAGAAAAAGCAGAAAAAAAAAAGAAGAUUGGCAGGAGUUGUUAGCUCAGGUGCCAAUCUAAAAAAAAAAGACUUACCAAAUAAAAAUCUUCUGUACAUGAAAAAUCAUAUACUGAGGUGCUCUUUGAUACAAUUAUUCUCGGAAUUCAUCCUAAGGCCAUUAUGAGACCAAUGCACAGGCACCCUCAGGUGCUCAGAUAAGAGAACAAAUUUACAACCCUUCUAGAAAGGAAUUGGGUAACACAUAAAGAUCCUUAAAAAAGUUUAUUUCUUGGGGCCGACUCUGUGGCCAAGUGGUUAAGCUCACACGUUCCACUUGGGUGGCCCAGGGGUUCAACGGUUCACUGGGUAUGGACCUAGCACCACUCAUCAAGGCAUGCUGAGGUGGCCACCUACACAGAAGAAGGUACAUCUAGGAUAUACAACUGUGUACUGGGGGGCUUUGGGGAGAAAAAAAAAAAAGAGGAAGAUUGGCAACAGAUGUUAGCUCAGGACCAGUCUUCCUCACCAAAAAGGUGCUUAAAAAAAAAAGAAAAAGUUUAUUUCUUUAGACAGAGGGAUUCUCUUGUAUAAUUCUAUCCUAAGAAAAUAUGCAGAAACUCUGAAAAUGAUUUAUAUACAAAGACCCCCACAGCAUCAUCCUUUAUCAUAAUAUUAUAGAGCACUUACUAUAUGCCAAGCAGAGAGAAGUACUAGACAUAUAUUGAUUCAUUUACUCUUCACAAACAUCUUUUCAGAUAGGUACAAUCAAUAUUCUCAUUUUACAAAUGAGAAAAUCAAACUAACCGUUAACUAAUUCCUCCAAGGUCAACAGCUGGAAAAACAGUUGGUAAAGCAAGAAUCAAAUCUAGUCUGGCAUGGGAGGCUGUGAUCUUAACCACUAUGCUAUACUGCCUGGAAACUACAUAUGUGUCCACAAACCAUGUUUUCUAAAAAUAUUUGAUGAGGGGCCGGCCCAGUGGCACAGCAGUUAACUGCGCAUGUUCCACUUCGGCGGCCCAGGGUUCGCCAGUUUGGAUCCUGGGUGUGGACAUGGCACUGCUUGGCAAGCCACGCCGUGGUAGGAGUCACACAUAGAAAGUAGAGGAAGAUGGGCACGGAUGUUAGCUCAGGGCCAGUCUUCCUCAGCAAAAAAGAGAAGGAUUGGUGGCAGAUGUUAGCUCAGGGCUAAUCUUCCUCAAAAAAAAAAAAAAGCAGAAUAUAAAGUUACAUGCAAAGUAUGAUGCCAGUUCUAUAAAAGAAAAAUGAAGACAUGAUAGAACUAUUAAAAAUGCUCAUGUCUUGGUGGUAGAUUAUGGGUGAUUUAAGGCUAAG
rnacentral:lncRNA from 1 species